rfam:Salmo salar isolate Sally breed double haploid chromosome ssa05, whole genome shotgun sequence.
UCCCGUCUGGCUCAGUUGGUAGAGCAUGGUGUUUGCAACGUGUUUACAACGCCAGGGUCGUGGGUUCGAUUCCCACGGGGGAC